AAAUGACUCUCGGCAACGGAUAUCUCGGCUCUCGCAUCGAUGAAGAACGUAGCGAAAUGCGAUACUUGGUGUGAAUUGCAGAAUCCCGUGAAUCAUCAAAUUUUUGAACGCAAGUUGCGCCCGAAGCCAUUAGGCCGAGGGCACGUCUGCCUGGGCGU
rnacentral:rRNA from 1 species